rfam:Oryza sativa Japonica Group DNA, chromosome 7, cultivar: Nipponbare, complete sequence.
UUUAAAUGCACUUGUGGGUUUCCGUGUUCAGAUCGUCCGUUUUAUUUAAAUUUUUUAUUAGUAGUAUUUUUAUUGUUAUUAGAUGAAAAAACAUGAAUAAUAAUUAAUGCAUGAUAAUGUUGGACACGGAAAACUACACUUGCACUUAAA